GCUAAAAUGAUGAAAAUGGUAAACAUACUAGACUUAGAAUCUAGAGCUUAAUCCAGCUUGAGGGUUCAAGUCCCUCUUUUAGCA
rnacentral:tRNA from 1 species